AACGAACGCUGGCGGCAGGCUUAACACAUGCAAGUCGAACGCCCCGCAAGGGGAGUGGCAGACGGGUGAGUAACGCGUGGGAAUCUACCCUGAUCUGCGGGAUAGCUCCGGGAAACUGGAAUUAAUACCGCAUAUGUCCUGAGGGACAAAGAUUGAUCGGUUCAGGAUGAGCCCGCGUCCGAUUAGCUAGUUGGUGGGGUAAAGGCCUACCAAGGCGACGAUCGGUAGCUGGUCUAAGAGGAUGAUCAGCCACAUUGGGACUGAGACACGGCCCAAACUCCUACGGGAGGCAGCAGUGGGGAAUAUUGGACAAUGGGCGCAAGCCUGAUCCAGCCAUGCCGCGUGAGUGAUGAAGGUCUUAGGAUUGUAAAGCUCUUUCACCGGGGACGAUAAUGACGGUACCCGGAGAAGAAGCCCCGGCUAACUUCGUGCCAGCCGCCGCGGUAACAC
rnacentral:rRNA from 1 species